rnacentral:rRNA from 1 species
UCUAAUACCGGAUAACACUCCCGCCUGCAUGGGCGGGGGUUGAAAGCUCCGGCGGUGAAGGAUGAGCCCGCAGCCUAUCAGCUUGUUGGUGGGGUAAUGGCCUACCAAGGCGACGACGGG